rnacentral:misc_RNA from 1 species
CAGAGUUGCGAAGACUCCCUAAACCAUUGUGAACCUACCAUCUGAACCGUUGCUUCGGCGGGGCUGGCCAGCGCCCCCCCUAGCUGGGCCGGCCCGCGGCGAACCCGCCGGAGGAUACCCAAACUCUUGACUUAGUAAGGCCUCUCUGAGUUAUAGCUUACUGAAUAAGUCA